UUCUGCUGCUGGGAUUGGUUCCACAUAUUGAAGCACAAUGCUGUUUUACAAGCAGGGAUCGGAAAAUCCUUCUAAUUUAACUACUGGCAAAAAGGACUCUUGGCUGAUCGUUUUCUACUAUUCAUAUAUUUUUAGAUUGAAAAUUGCUUUCUGCUUUCUGACCAAUGGAAAUUAUACAGCAAUAAUGUGGGAA